GAUUCUAACGAGCAAGUUGCCCAAUAACAAGAAAGCGAAGACGAUGUCUUACCUGGACCGACGUGCUUUUUCGUCUACUAUUCACAAUGCAGUGCUGCCUAUCGACAAGCCACUGAUGCGCUAAUCUAUAAAAGAAAAGUGGACUGCAUCGCCAUUAU